CCUACGGGGUGCAGCAGUGGGGAAUAUUGCACAAUGGGGGGAACACUGAUGCAGCGACGCCGCGUGAGUGAGGAAGUCUUUCGGUAUGUAAAGCUCUCUCAGCAGGGAAGAAAAUGACGGGACCUGAUUAAGAAGCCCCGGCUAACUACGGUCAAGCAGCCGCGGUAAUACGUAGGGGGCAAGCGUUAUCCGGAUUUACUGGGUGUAAAGGGAGCGUAGACGGCAGCACAGGUCUGGAGUGAAAUGCCGGGGCUUAACCCCGGAACUGCUUUGGAAACUGUGCAGCUAGAGUGCAGGAGAGGUAAGUGGAAUUCCUGGUGUAGCGGUGAAAUGCGUAGAUAUUAGGAGGAACACCAGUGGCGAAGGCGGCUUACUGGACUGGAACUGACGUUGAGGCUCGAAAGCGUGGGGAGCAAACAGGAUUAGAUACCCCAGUAGUC
rnacentral:rRNA from 1 species